rnacentral:misc_RNA from 1 species
UAUUCGCUGAUGGUACUGCGAGUUCGCGGGAGAGUAGGUUAUUGCCAGGGUUUUUAUUUUUAYAUUUUAAAUCUUGAUUUUAUUUUAUGUUUUUUAAAUAUUAGUGUUUUUGAAUAUGUUAUUUAAAUAAUAUAAAAAAUAAAAUAUAUAUUGACAUGGAUUAAACAAAGAUAUAUAUUAUUUUAUGUUGCAUAAACAAAUUGGCAAAAUAGAGAUGGAAGAUAAAAAUAUGGUCAAAGUAAUAAGAGUC